rnacentral:siRNA from 1 species
GUGUGUGUCGUCAAGCCGGA